AAGAUUAUACUUCACAGAAUCAUUUCUGUAGUAUAUCUUCCUUUCUCUCUACUCAACAGUAGAAUAGAAAACACCACGAUGAUGAGGAUUAAUCCUCUUCUCUGAGCGUGAGGCAGACUUCAGGUGAACUUGUCAGAGUUUUCUGAGUCAUCGAUGAUCGUUCACUGUUCCUUCGGGUUCAGGAUGGGAAGAGGAUAAUCUGAGUGGC